UAAUCAGCCACGUAUUUCAACAUAUCCGG
rnacentral:piRNA from 1 species